GGAAGGAUCAUUAUUGAAAUAAACCUGAUGGGUUGCUGCUGGUUCUCUAGGGAGCAUGUGCACACCUUGUCAUCUUUAUAUCUCCACCUGUGCACUUUUUGUAGACCUUUCAGGUCUAUGUUGCUUCAUUUACCCCAAUGUAUGUUAAUAGAAUGUUGUGCCUAUAUAAUAUAUACAACUUUCAGCAACGGAUCUCUUGGCUCUCGCAUCGAUGAAGAACGCAGCGAAAUGCGAUAAGUAAUGUGAAUUGCAGAAUUCAGUGAAUCAUCGAAUCUUUGAACGCACCUUGCGCUCCUUGGUAUUCCGAGGAGCAUGCCUGUUUGAGUGUCAUUAAUAUAUCAACCUUCUCUUUUUUGAGUUGUUUGGAUGUGGGGGUUUGCUGGCCUCUUAAAUGAUUCAGCUCCCCUGAAAUGCAUUAGCAGAACAACCUGUUCAUUGGCGUGAUAAUUAUCUAUGCUAUUGAAUGUGAGGGGCAGUUCAGCUUUCUAACCGUCCUCGGACAAUUCAUCAUUAAUGUGACCUCAAAUCAGGUAGGACUACCCGCUGAACUUAAGCAUAUCAAUAAGCGGAGGAAAAGAAACUAACAAGGAUUCCCCUAGUAACUGCGAGUGAAGCGGGAAAAGCUCAAAUUUAAAAUCUGGCGGUCUUUUGGCUGUCCGAGUUGUAAUCUAGAGAAGUGUUAUCCGCGCUGGACCGUGUACAAGUCUCCUGGAAUGGAGCAUCAUAGAGGGUGAGAAUCCCGUCUUUGACAUGGACUGCCAGGGCUUUGUGAUGCGCUCUCAAAGAGUCGAGUUGUUUGGGAAUGCAGCUCAAAAUGGGUGGUAAAUUCCAUCUAAAGCUAAAUAUUGGCGAGAGACCGAUAGCG
rnacentral:rRNA from 1 species